rnacentral:rRNA from 1 species
ACGGGAGGCAGCAGUGAGGAAUAUUGGUCAAUGGAGGAAACUCUGAACCAGCCAAGUCGCGUGAGGGAAGAAUGCCCUACGGGUUGUAAACCUCUUUUGCCGGGGGAUAAACCUGACCACGUGUGGUCAGCUGAAGGUACCCGGUGAAUAAGCAUCGGCUAACUCCGUGCCAGCAGCCGCGGUAAUACGGAGGAUGCGAGCGUUAUCCGGAUUUAUUGGGUUUAAAGGGUGCGUAGGCGGCCCCUUAAGUCGGCGGUGAAAUUUCCGGGCUCAACCCGGUCACUGCCGUCGAAACUGGGGGGCUUGAGUGCGUUUGGGGUGGCUGGAAUGUGCGGUGUAGCGGUGAAAUGCAUAGAUAUCGCACAGAACGCCGAUCGCGGAGGCAGGUCACCAAGCCGCAACUGACGCUGAGGCACGAAAGCGCGGGGAUCGAACAGGAUUAGAUACCCUGGUA